rnacentral:rRNA from 1 species
CUGGAGGUAUCAGAAGUGCGAAUGCUGACAUAAGUAACGAUAAAGCGGGUGAAAAGCCCGCUCGCCGGAAGACCAAGGGUUCCUGUCCAACGUUAAUCGGGGCAGGGUGAGUCGACCCCUAAGGCGAGGCCGAAAGGCGUAGUCGAUGGGAAACAGGUUAAUAUUCCUGUACUUGGUGUUACUGCGAAGGGGGGACGGAGAAGGCUAUGUUGGCCGGGCGACGGUUGUCCCGGUUUAAGCGUGUAGGCUGGUUUUCCAGGCAAAUCCGGAAAAUCAAGGCUGAGGCGUGAUGACGAGGCACUACGGUGCUGAAGCAACAAAUGCCCUGCUUCCAGGAAAAGCCUCUAAGCAUCAGGUAACAUCAAAUCGUACCCCAAACCGACACAGGUGGUCAGGUAGAGAAUACCAAGGCGCUUGAGAGAACUCGGGUGAAGGAACUAGGCAAAAUGGUGCCGUAACUUCGGGAGAAGGCACGCUGAUAUGUAGGUGAAGUCCCUCGCGGAUGGAGCUGAAAUCAGUCGAAGAUACCAGCUGGCUGCAACUGUUUAUUAAAAACACAGCACUGUGCAAACACGAAAGUGGACGUAUACGGUGUGACGCCUGCCCGGUGCCGGAAGGUUAAUUGAUGGGGUUAGCCGCAAGGCGAAGCUCUUGAUCGAAGCCCCGGUAAACGGCGGCCGUAACUAUAACGGUCCUAAGGUAGCGAAAUUCCUUGUCGGGUAAGUUCCGACCUGCACGAAUGGCGUAAUGAUGGCCAGGCUGUCUCCACCCGAGACUCAGUGAAAUUGAACUCGCUGUGAAGAUGCAGUGUACCCGCGGCAAGACGGAAAGACCCCGUGAACCUUUACUAUAGCUUGACACUGAACAUUGAGCCUUGAUGUGUAGGAUAGGUGGGAGGCUUAGAAGUGUGGACGCCAGUCUGCAUGGAGCCGACCUUGAAAUACCACCCUUUAAUGUUUGAUGUUCUAACGUUGACCCGUAAUCCGGGUUGCGGACAGUGUCUGGUGGGUAGUUUGACUGGGGCGGUCUCCUCCUAAAGAGUAACGGAGGAGCACGAAGGUUGGCUAAUCCUGGUCGGACAUCAGGAGGUUAGUGCAAUGGCAUAAGCCAGCUUGACUGCGAGCGUGACGGCGCGAGCAGGUGCGAAAGCAGGUCAUAGUGAUCCGGUGGUUCUGAAUGGAAGGGCCAUCGCUCAACGGAUAAAAGGUACUCCGGGGAUAACAGGCUGAUACCGCCCAAGAGUUCAUAUCGACGGCGGUGUUUGGCACCUCGAUGUCGGCUCAUCACAUCCUGGGGCUGAAGUAGGUCCCAAGGGUAUGGCUGUUCGCCAUUUAAAGUGGUACGCGAGCUGGGUUUAGAACGUCGUGAGACAGUUCGGUCCCUAUCUGCCGUGGGCGCUGGAGAACUGAGGGGGGCUGCUCCUAGUACGAGAGGACCGGAGUGGACGCAUCACUGGUGUUCGGGUUGUCAUGCCAAUGGCACUGCCCGGUAGCUAAAUGCGGAAGAGAUAAGUGCUGAAAGCAUCUAAGCACGAAACUUGCCCCGAGAUGAGUUCUCCCUGACUCCUUGAGAGUCCU